AUUGAACGCUGGCGGCAUGCUUUACACAUGCAAGUAGUACGAGUGGCGAACGGGUGAGUAACGCAUCGGAACGUACCGCGUAAUGGGGGAUAACUGUCCGAAAGGACAGCUAAUACCGCAUAUUAUUCGAGCGGCCGAUGGCUGAUUAGCUGGUUGGCGGGCUAAAGGCCCACCAAGGCGACGCUCAGUAGCGGGUCUGAGAGGAUGCUCCGCCACACUGUGACUGAGACACGGCCCAGACUCCUACGGGAGGCAGCAGUGGGGAAGUUUGGACAAUGGGCGCAAGCCUGAUCCAGCCAUGCCGCGUGUCUGAAGAAGGCCUUCGGGUUGUAAAGGACUUGUGUCAGGGAAGCGGUACCUGAAUAAUAAGCACCGGCUAACUACGUGCCAGCCGCCGCGGUAAUUC
rnacentral:rRNA from 1 species